GAAUGAACCAGAUAGCAGAGAGGCAGUCCUCAAAGAAAGAAAGUUUCUCAGGUUUGCUGUGGCGCCUUUAUUAGAACAGCUUAGAAAGGAAAACAUCAAUGAACUGAGCAGG